rnacentral:rRNA from 1 species
UUUAAUGAGAGUUUGAUCCUGGCUCAGGACGAACGCUGGCGGCGUGCCUAAUACAUGCAAGUAGAACGCUGAAGAGAGGAGCUUGCUCUUCUUGGAUGAGUUGCGAACGGGUGAGUAACGCGUAGGUAACCUGCCUGGUAGCGGGGGAUAACUAUUGGAAACGAUAGCUAAUACCGCAUGAUAUUAAUUGUCGCAUGAUAAUUAAUUGAAAGAUGCAAUUGCAUCACUACCAGAUGGACCUGCGUUGUAUUAGCUAGUUGGUGAGGUAACGGCUCACCAAGGCGACGAUACAUAGCCGACCUGAGAGGGUGAUCGGCCACACUGGGACUGAGACACGGCCCAGACUCCUACGGGAGGCAGCAGUAGGGAAUCUUCGGCAAUGGGGGGAACCCUGACCGAGCAACGCCGCGU